GUGAGAGUCACCUUUCUUGCUAAACUUCUUUGUAUACAAGUUGUCCCUAUGGCGAGCGAUCAAAGGGAAUUCUAGGCAAUUGUUUUUGGUUAUUAACUGAAGGAAGUUGAUCUGCAAUUAUUCUAGCAGGUAACUGAACCAUGGUAUAGAGAGAACAUAAAAGAAGGAAUCUGGGCUUGCUGUGGUCUUUAUUAAUUUCUUCAUUAUGAAUACCUCUCCUAUGUUCUUCUAAGCCCCCACCCCACCACAUGUGAUAAGGAAAUAGAAAAGAGAGCAGCAGAGUGUCUACCGUUGGCACAAUGGGCUGUGUUUCUCUAACUCUGGGGCCUUGAGUUGUUGGAGAGGACAUCACGAAAGGCUCGUGUCCCCAUCGAACAGACCCUGGGAACUGGGGCAGCAGAAGCAGCUCUGAUGUGAAUUUGGAGAUAAGAGCAUGUUCUACACUCUUGGACCCGGACAAAUUUGGUCUCGCGUGAUUGGAUCAGAGUGACACCACUUGUGGCCUCAUGAAGCCCCAAAGCCUUCUUGGUUCCUGUCUUUGUGGAGUGCGGAUGACCUCUCUAGGAGCAGGAGACGAGUGUGAUGAAGUACUGAGAGGUUCCACAUGGAUAUAGAAGAUGAUGUUCCCCUUGGGAGAGAGGAUCAAAGCCCCCCCCGGGCUGUUUGCUGCUGAGUUUUACUCCUAAUAAUCUUUGUGGCUUCUGCCCCAACCUGCCUGC
rnacentral:lncRNA from 1 species